AAGGAGAUUAUUUUUGGGGAACAAAAGGAACCAUCAACAUUUUGUUAUAAAUACGGAACUGCUCAUAGCCUAGCCAUCUAUUGCCUGUAUAACUCGUGAAAAACAACUAGUAUAAGCUGUAAACCGUCUGCAAGAUGAACGCCAAGUUUCUGCUCGUUGUUGCCUUGGUCUGCCUGGCAGUCUCCACCACCACUGCAGCGCCCCGAGUGAAGAGGUUCACGUGCACAUUUAUGGGAGACUGGGCUUGUGAGACCCAUUGUUACGCCCUGAACAGACAAGGGGGCUGGUGUGACAGUCGUAACGUCUGCAACUGCAGACAGGAGAGAAUCCUAUGAACUUCCCGAAGACCAGGAGACUCACAUCCUUCAGAUGCAACUUAUGUGUCAGGUGGAGGGAAAAUUUGAGUGAUGAUCCUGUGUAUUUUUAUCAUUGAACUCUUUUUUGCUUUAAUAACAUUUCAAUUUAUAACAUUUUUUUUUCAAAUACACUUUAACAAAACUAUGUCAACUCUGCCAAUAAUACAGUUUGAAUAAAUGAUUUUUUUUA